GUGUAAAAAAAAACAAUAAAACAAUAAAACAAAAAAUUGUCAAAUCAUGAAGUAAGAAUUCCGGAUAAGAGACCAGAGUUAAUCAUGCCCAUAAACGACGUAUUCAUUUCAUAAUGUAAUCCCAUAAUAAUAUUUAAAUAUGUCAUCUGCUACUGGGCUUGGACCUCCAGAAAAUAACAGAACAAAACGCCCAAUUUAGUAGGAUAUAUUUUUUACCCCAUUUGUGUGUUGGGCGGCCUUAGAGGCCUUAAAAUUUUAACCAGCGAAUGAGGACCAUAGGAUUAAUCUGACAUCUUCUUCUUCCCUCUUCUUCCUCGAUUAGUGUUUAUGAUUUUUUUUUUUUUUAGUGUUUAUGAUUUUAGUCUUAAGGUUUUAGCAAACUAUUUGAUUUUCUGCUCACCUCCCUUGCUCGUGAUCCCACUCAUUGAUAGUUAGUCUGGAUUUGAUCGCGACAUUGAUUAACAGUUGUGGUGAAGAAAUCCUAAUUUGGGAUAGUUUUUAGACAUACUACUCUGGUGAGUAAUGAGGAAGCUCAAGUAUCAUGAGAAGAAGGUUCUGAAGAAAUUAAAUUUCUUGGAAUGGAAAAGAGAAGGUGCAUGGCCAACGGCCCAACAGAUGGAUCCAACUGAUCCUUUUCGGAUUCAGAUGACUGAUAUGCUUCUCGAUAAACUCUUGAGUUUUACUUACCAGUGUGUACAGCUUCUUACAAGCAAUGGCUCUUUUGUUUCCUUAGGUCUUUUCAACAAGAGAGUUAUCCUUUUUCCGCUGCUGUUACAUCGAUCUUCACUUCAUAAGCUUCGAUACAACCUGGGAGUUAUACCGACUAGGAAAAGCUUAGGCAUUAACUGAUCGGUUACCAGUUUCGUCCUUCUGUAGGCGCAGGCUAUCGACAGUCCUGGUUCACCUGAAGGUUCUUCAGUACAAUGACAAAUUGGAUGACUACGACAUGAUCGCUUAACUUUAAAACAAACUGUUAUGGCCAAUGUUAAGUAUAACCACAGAUUGAUCCGCGGAUGUAUUGGUUAUUGCAUUUUUAUACAUGGAUAUUUAUUUUUCA